GACAGUUUGUGGACUGUCUCUAUAUAUUUCUCCACUCUCUGAAGCCUUUCAUUCUAUCCAAAAAAAAAAAUCCAAAAAAACUGCCGCAUCUCCCUCAGAGCUGGAGUUAUUGAAUCAAGCUGCUCUUUCAAAGUUCCCGCCAUCUUUUCUGGCUGAUCAGACACGUCCAAUCAACACAAACAAUUGGGUUUAGAGGAUAAUCAUGGCGUACCCGUCCAGGAAGAGAACGUUCUCCAAGGGACAAGAGAAGUUGGGUAAACUCAGCCUCAGCUUCUGCAAGUUCCUGAUGGAGUCGAGCUCUCGACACAUUCGCACCAUCAACUUUUUUCCGAGUCAAUCUUGUGGCAGAAGGCUGAAAGUAGGAGUGGAGAGAGGUUGGAGAUACCAAAAGUGUGAAGGACUCAAUGGAUUGAUAAAGACAUUCUCGUAAGUGACUUCACAGCUUGAAGAACUUAGAAGACAGAACUUGUAAACAUAUAAAAUUUAGAUAAGAAAAAAAAAAUAUAUAACUUGCUUGGUACUUACAAAUUUUACCCAUUACAACUUUCGAGUAAAAAAUCACAUAAAUAACUAAAA